GAUGAACGCUAGCGGCAGGCUUAAUACAUGCAAGUCGAGGGGGCAGCACGGGUAGCAAUACCUGGUGGCGACCGGCAAACGGGUGCGGAACACGUACGCAACCUUCCCAAAACUGGUGAAUAGCCCUCCGAAGGAGGAUUAAUACACCGUACCAUAAUGAAGAGGCAUCUCUUUAUUAUUAUAGGCUUCGGGUCGGUUUCGGAUGGGCGUGCGCCUGAUUAGGUAGUUGGCGGGGUACGGCCACCAAGCCUACGAUCAGUAACUGGUGUGAGAGCACGACCAGUCACACGGGCACUGAGACACGGGCCCGACUCCUACGGGAGGCAGCAGUAAGGAAUAUUGGUCAAUGGACGAAAGUCUGAACCAGCCAUGCCGCGUGAAGGAUGAAGUCC
rnacentral:rRNA from 1 species